rfam:Stegodyphus mimosarum contig58686, whole genome shotgun sequence.
GCCCGGAUAGCUCAGUCGGUAGAGCGUUAGGCUUUUAACCUAGCGGUCCAGGGUUCGAGUCCCUGUUCGGGCG